rnacentral:lncRNA from 1 species
UCUUUGUGUGUUAAAAAGUUAAUAAAUAUAAAUAUUUAAUUUUUAUAUUUGAUUAUAGAAAUCGCGCGAAACCCACGAUUGACGUACACUCUAGCGAUAAUUAAACAAAUUAAUAUUUUGUCCACUUGUUAGUAUUUUCACCAUGGUUACUACCCCCUUGAGUGACGUGUUACGGCGCGAAAUAUUUACCCCUUUUUCGUUUCGAUACUUAGUACGUUUUAGGUAAAUUUAGGUCUAUCGUUUCUUGACUAGCCUGCUCGUUCACUUUAUUUUAAAGUUUUUUACUGUGGUAGACAUUGAGGAGGAAAAGGUGUACUGAUCGAAAGAAUAAAGGAAUGCAUCACUGAGACGAGGGUCAAAGUGAGAACAAGGGGUCGUAAAAGGAGAAGAAGAGUUUUGGAUGAGAAGAGGGCUCAGGCAAACCUGCCCUUUAAGCUCUCUUCUGUUCAGUGGUGAAUAUGGAAGAAAAAUUGCAGAAAAGGGGAAAAGGGGGAAUGCAUUUAGGGAAUGGCAAAGUGUGCUUGCUAGCAUAUGCAGAUGAUGUGGUUCUACUAGCGGACGAUGAAAGAGGGAUGCAAAUGUUGAUAAGUGUUUUUGAAAAGUAUGUGAGAGAGAAUGAUAAAUGUGAAUAGGACGAAAAAGGCGGAGGAUACGGAGAGAUACAGGUGAAAAUAUGUUUAAUCUUGGAGGGUAUUAGUUAAGGGAAAAAGUAAAUGAAGAAGUUAGAAGAAUUAAGAAAGAGUAUGAAGUAAGCCGAGGGGGAGCUAUGAAGCCGGAUGAGUAAGAUUGACAACAAAGUAAAGUAAUAAAACAAUCUCUGUAAGGUCUGAUGUAUUUGCAUUAGUAUGUUAAAUGUUGUUUCCUUAGUUUUAUAGUUUUUCUUAUUGUAUAUAAUGUAAUUUGCUCGUCAAUUUUAUUUUUACAAAGAUGUUAUUUUAUCAUUGAUUAAUAGUUUUUUAAUUUAUAUUGUUCAAUUAAGUAGUAUAGUAAUUUAGAUAGAUUUACGACUCGUUGUUAAAUGAUUGUAAAGGGAACGGAUCCCUCAAAUCCGUAAAAGGAAGAGUAAUAAAGACAAAUUAUUUUGUUCUUAACAUAAAUAACAGCUGGUGUGUAUCUGAAACUCUACUGUUAUAUUAAUUAUUAAUAUAAAAGAGCCCAGAGAAGAAUAUUUUUAUAUACAUGGAAAUCAUUUUGAAUAUAUGUAUAGAUAUUAAAAUUAUUUAUUUCAUCUAUACGAUCGAAACGAGUACAGAUCUUUAUAUAUAUAUAUAUAUAUAUAUAUAUAAUCCUUCAGCUGAGACACUCUGUGUGUUUCAAAUUAUUUCACGAACAGUGUAUAAAUGUUAAUAUAAAAUACAAAUGUAAAAUACGAAUACAAAUAUAGAAGAUAGAAAUAGGAAUUAUUUGAUGCAUAAAAAAACACACUUCUCUAAAUGUUCUGUUCGACGUUCUCUUGAAAUACACGCGAUUAGAAUAACAAGACGAUCGAAAGAAGAAAAUUUAUUUAAGAGAUUGUACCGCCUGUAUUAUAUCAGCGUAAUAUAAGAGACCGAGAAAAUGGGUUAACGAUAUUCUAUUUCAUCUCCAUUUCUUUCCUUCUUCUUUUUGUGCUUCCUCUUUCACUUCCAUAUGAUUCAUACGUGCAGUUCGUUACAUUACAGACAAGAAAAUGGAACAAUGCGUUAUUCGCUUUCUCGAGUACAACGUGAAAAAGAUUUCCGAGAUCCUAUGUAAAAAGAAAAAAACAAAA